UACAGAGGUGGCAAGCGUUGUUCGGAAUUACUGGGCGUAAAGGGCGCGUAGGCGGCCUUCUAAGUCAGACGUGAAAUCCCCCGGCUUAACCUGGGAACUGCGUCUGAUACUGGGAGGCUUGAGUAUGGGAGAGGGAUGUAGAAUUCCAGGUGUAGCGGUGAAAUGCGUAGAUAUCUGGAGGAACACCGGUGGCGAAGGCGGCAUUCUGGACCGAUAUUGACGCUGAGACGCGAAAGCGUGGGGAGCGAACCGG
rnacentral:rRNA from 1 species